AAUACAAGGGGUGUUCGUUUUUUGGAAAGUCCAAUUUUCAUAACUUUGAUCAAAUCCAGAGCAAAAAAUAUCGACAUUCAUAAGAUUAAAGAAAAACAUGGAAAUGCAUUUCAUGAAGAAUAUAAUCAUACAGAUUUAAUAUUAUGAAUUUUGAUAUAUUCCUCUAAAAAAUUAAUCAAACUUAAAAAUAUAACUUUUUAUACAUCUUCCAUUUUAAAACAAAGUGAGUAAUUUUUUCAAGAAACGCAACACCAACGACACAGCAAAACGCGUUCUAACCCUUCUAGUACUAUAACCACAGCUACUACUUGCAUGGAUUGUAUGAAUUUAAGAUAUGAGAUUUGAGAUAUUCUGAUGUAGAUUGUAUUAUUUGAGGCGUGACCGAUGAGUGUCUCUAGACACGUCCGACCACGUCCGCGGGCAUUUGAAUGGCCGGAUUUGAGAAGUUCGAUCAUAGAUGUUCUAACAUCCAUAGAAGGCCCCUAUCCUGUGCCCAUGCAUGCUGUGCAGCUCUUAGACGUGUUUCCGUGUAUAUUUUCUUGUGAUUCAUUUGUUUGCCUUGGCAGUAAGUGGGAGUUCUGGAUGUGCACUAGGGACCAAGCUUGCACUAAGAGCGUUGUUAAUAAUAUAGCUAGCUGUAGACCUUGUGAUAUCGUCACGUCAUUUAUAGUUAAACUUUUAACCGGUAAAUAUAAUAAUUAGGUAUAAAUAUAUAUAUUAUUUCCUUCAUCUCGGUUUAUAAAUCAUCUUACAAAAAUUAAAUAAUUUCAAAACACUUAGGUGCGGUGCAUUAACUUUUACCUUGUUUCUUGUUUUAAACAUUAAUAAAGGAAUCAACCAAUAAGGGACACGUGAGGUAUGUAUGUUUUAAAUGACUUGAGACUAACUAGCACAACAUGCACUGGUUAAUUCAUUGCAUCCAAUGAUAUUAAUUAGAAAAUUAAAAUUAUUUUCUCUUGUUUUUCUCUCCGUUUUAAUCGCGACGCAUAACCUAAGAUGACUUAUACAGCGAGACGGAGGGAGUACUUUGUUGAUACAUGUAUCAUCCUACUCUCAUAAAGUAUUUAGAAGUAAGUGAUGUAGCCCGUUGGGCCGUUGUUUAACUAAUAGCCCGCUUCUUUUCUUACUCUCUUUUCCCUCUUCCCAUUAGGGUCCGAAGACGUCAGGGACGGUUCGUGCGGUCCUUCCGGUGCAUGCUUCGUACCCCCCUUGACACCGAUCAUAUUACCUCAGACGCACACUACUAAUUAAGAGGAACUCCAACGGGACGAUCCAUUUCGUAUGCCGCCGUUUGUUUGGCUCCGCGUGGAUAGAAAAGUCGGCCCAGUGUGUUGACCCAAACGGACGCGUCUCCGCUUUUCGUGCGCGUGCGGACCCAUUCUUAACCCAGUUUUGAGCCUGAUUUGGGUCGACGCGGACACAAAGCGGACGCGGACGCUGCGCGCGUGCUCCUUCCCCUGGCCCGCCAAUCGAUGGCACAUUGGUGGUUCUCCACCCCUACCGGCGGCUAGCCCUCACCUCGCCCCCACCUCGUGGUUGCCGCCACCCAGUUCCAGCGCCUCGGCCCCAAACGCCGACACCUACCCAUGACGCUGGCGCAUCGCCGUCAGGCCACCGUAGCUUUCCCAACCCAAGUCCGACGUUGUUGGUCAGCUUUGUCGUCCACUCGAGCAAGUUGUUCGACAGUUUGUCUCAAGGAACAAAUGGACUGUGCCAACGAGUUCUUUUUUCAUAAUGUUUUGUGCGACUCCGACGAUGAGGAGAUGUUGCUUGCCGUGUUGGUCCAUGACCAACUUAAUAGGCAGCGGACGUUGUUCUGGGGCUCGAUUAUGUGUCAUGUUCCGACGUUGAAUCGCAACCAAGAGAGCUAGGCAUGUUUUCAACCGGAUUUGAGAGGGGUGAACGGAUACGAUGACUACUUCGACUGCAAAGAGGAUGUCAUUGGAAAGAUUGGCUUCUCAUCUUAUCAGAAAUGCAUUGCAGCUAUCCGGAUGCUUGCUUACAGAGUACCAGGUGAUCUUAUCGAUGAGUACGUAUGAGUGAGUCUAUGUGUCUAGAGUCGUUGUACAGAUUCUGCAAGGCUGUUGUUGCAGUGUUUGGCCCUGAGUACUUGAGAGAUCCGACUGUUGCACACACAGCCUGCUUGUUGGCGACCAAUGUCAGCCGGGGCUUUCCAUGGAUGCUUGACAUCAUAGACUGCAUACAAUUGGAGCGAAAGAACUGCCGUUCUGCUUGACAAGGCCAGUAGCCCAGUACAAGGGCCAUGUCAAGGCUUGCACUGUUAUACUUGAGGUCGUGGCCUCUCAAGAUCUAUGGAUCUGGCACUCUUUCUAUGGCAUGGUCGGAUCAUACAAUGAUAUCAACGUGCUUCAACGUUCGCCGAUGUUUGCAAGGCUUGCCGAAGGCAACAGUCCGUCGGUCAAUGUUAACAUCAACAAUCACAACUACAAUAAAGGAUACUAUCUAACUGAUGAAAUCUAUCCACAGUGGACCAUUAUUGUGAAGACAAUCUCCAACCCUGUCGGAGAGAGGAGGAAAAGACUUGCCCAAGAGCAACAGAGUGCUAGGAAGGAUGUCGAGCAUGUCUUUGGUGUUCUGCAAUCUCGACGGGGCAUAGUUCGGUAUCCUGCUAGAACCUGGAGCACCAAGAAGUUGUGGGAAGUGAUGACUACUUGUGUGAUUAUGCACAAUAUGAUCGUAGGGGGUGAGCGCCUGAAACGCCUUCACGAUCAAGGGUUUGAGUUUCAGGGUGACAUUGUGGUGCCUCAGCAUGGCGGAGGAGCGACAUUGUUUGCAUAGUUCAUCCAAUUUCAUCAUGAAAUGUGUGAUUGGGAAACUCACUUGCAAGAUGAUUUGGUUGAGCAUAUGUGGAUCAAUGUUGGCAACCAAUAGUUGUAUCCUUUUAAGACAAAUUAAUUUUUAUUUGGCUUGUAAAACUUUACUAUAUUUUAUUUUGAUUGUGGAACUAUGCUAUUUCAUUUGUUUUUAAAAAAGAUGCAAAAUAUCUGUAUUUGUUAAAAACCGACGGCUAGCCGGUCAUGCACACAAAUACCAGUCGGCGCGUUGGAUACACCGACGAUCCAAAUCAUAAACCGAUGGACAUAGAGCGGACAGACAACCCAAACGAACAAAAAGCAAACAAAAUCGUCCUCCGUUUAAGUCGGACGGUUGGUGUUCUAAGUACUCGCCGCUACAACGUCUCCUCUGUGCAACCGCUGAUCCCGACCCAACUAACGAGCAGUUCCAUCUCUAUAGGCGAAAAGGGCAGCGACCCAGUUUUCAGUCGCUCCGCCGGCGAGGUUGCGGGCUCUCUCCCCGUCCGGAUGCCACUACGGCGACGGGUGGGGAGGGGGCCCCGGUUUCUCCGCUCCGACGUAUAGUUAGGUUGUAGUUGUGGUUUCCCUCGCCAGCGUUUGGGUGGUGGCGACGUUAGCGAUUGGAAUAAAUUUUCCUCGGUCCUAGCUCCAUCUCGACGGCACCAUAGCGCAAGGUCGAGGGAUCCGUGGGAGUUCGUCUUCGGUCAUUCCGAUGGUGCGGUAGAUAUGGUGUCCCUUGGUGGACUGAUGGUGUGCGUCCUCGGCGGUGUUGUCAGUUUGCAAGGCAAGAUGCUCGUCCAUGAUCUGGUAUGGUGGACAGUGGGUGGUGGUUCUGGUGCUAAGCCUGGACGACGACGACGAGGGCAUGCCACAGUUUCAGGAGGCGAUUAGUACGGGGACGUUCCCCACUCCACGUGCCACAGAGAAUACGGCUUCGCCGGCGGCGGACCUCUCUAUCGACUCACAAAGCCCAUUAGGGCAAUGGUGCUCUAUCAUCUCCGGCAAUGGAUUGCGGCAAGGGUGGUAGUUGUAUGGAUCCUGGACGUGUAUUUUUCCUUGCCCUUUCUUGGUGAUUCAUGUGUGUGCGUUGUAUUUGCUAUGAAUAAUUAAUGACAAUCUUCUAAAAAAAAUGUACUCGCUGCUAGCGUCUGCACUUUGCACAAGUGACAGUGGCCAGCAAAGAAUACUAUCCUGAUAAGGUCUGACCAGCGAGGAACGAAAUGGUAAUUUCCGCAAUUACUAGUUAUUGUAGUGCCGGACACGAAUUACUGGGAGUGCCAAACAUCAGUAUUUAGGUAAAAGUUCUAGCAAAAUUACACAAAAACAGUACGGGUAUGAUCGUGCCUAAGGCCGCCCUUGGUUCGCCGUUUUCCUACCGUUCUAAUUUUCCACCCGUAAACUCUUCCACCCGCAUUAAACUGAGUACCCGCAAAAUCCAGGUUGAAAGGAAACAGAGCGCGGGAGGUUUUAUUCUUUUUCCAGGCGUAAGGCAAAACAUAGCCCUUUUUUUGGAUCUAAAUGACCAACCAAGCGGUUGACUUGAAGAAGCGUGUAUUAAUUUUUCACAUGGAUAUUUUACACCUGUAAUCAUUCCUGAAACGACGAUUCAAUUGUGCCCUAAACAUCAUAAUAAAUCCAAUGAAUAGUCUUAAAAAUAAGCUUAAAAUAUAAUACUCCCUCUAUUUUUAAAUAUAGUUUUUUAAGAUAUUUUAAUAAAAAACUACAUACCAAGCAAAAUAAAUGAAUUUAUACUUUAAAAUAUAUUUAUAUACAUCUGUAUGUAGUUUUUUAAUGAAAUUUCCAAAAAAACUAAUAUUUAAAAACGAAUGGAAUAAACUAUUUUUUGUUUUUAUAAUGGCUGUGAUGGUACCCGCGGCACCCUGCCCAGAUCCGCCCCUGGUAAGUGGGUUUACGAGGCCAACUUCUAAGCUUGAUCCCAAAUGGACGUCUUUUUUUUUCGUUCGGAUGGUAGGGGUGUCUGCCUAAAUUUGUGUAUAUGGUGACCGUUCUCUAACGUACAAACGCAUUAUGGCCGCAUCUCGUCCGCACAUAAUUUUUUAAUAUAGUUUUUUAUUAUUUUCAUCAUAUAAUUUUUUGAUACAUUGGAGUACAUUAUCAAAUUUUGACUAGCCUGCGGGCGGGAGACAUGCUCGUCGAAAGGAACGACCGGGGCUGCUUGCUUUGUGUUUCGUCGGGACGGUUGGCCAGCACCAUUGUACCUCGGCAUGACAUUGAGGUCGAUGACGCCCGCGGGCGUGGACGAAACGACCAUGCUGCAGUUCGGGGACAUAGAGAACCUUGUUUGCCCAUGGUCAUGGAGCGGGGGCGCUCCUCAAGCAUGACGGACAACCUGUUGGAACGGUGCUAUGGAGGACGGACGACUAAUGAGCAUGUGAUGGCCGCGGCCACGACAACGACCGUCAGAAUGGCCGACGAGGGUCAGCACAACCCUAACAUGAGGAGGAUGUGCCCCUUGGCAACGAUGGCCUCCUUGUCGUCGACCUCGGCCUUGUACUGUGUGGCACGCAGCGCGGCCGUCUCGACGGCGAUGUCCGCAUCGGCCUUCUUCUCCUUCUCCUUUGUAUGCAGAUUUCGCCUCUUGCUGAUUCGUCAUUGAGCUUGGCAAGCUCCGCCAGCGUGAGCUCCGGCCGCAGCUUCUUGGGAGCCUUCUUCGAGGCGGCGCGCCGGGUCACUGGGAUUCAUCGGGUCGUCGGUCAUGGUGGAGGGGGGGAGGGAAAAGGGGACGCGGGGAAAUUUUGAGCAAAAUAGAGGAAAAGUGGGGCGGUCGUGUCCUUAAUGGACGAGCUAGGGAGAAAACAAAUGCACGCGCUUCCGCCCGUCCGUUUGGGCGCUAACGCGAACCAAGUUAGGUUCCAAAUGAAUCUAAAACGGACAUUGAUUCGUUUACUCGUGCAUGUUGGACGUCAUGUUUUGUCCGUUAAUGCUUAAAUGGACGAGGCUGGAUAAGAUGGGCACACGCGUUGAGUUGACCUGAUUGCUCGUCCUGACUAUAGUUGUUUCUGCAAUGGUUUGUAUAGAUCUCUUGAUUUUGGUAAUUAUCAUUCUUACCAAUUUCCUUGAUUAAUGUUUACCCAUUAAAUAUUUAGAUAUAUUCACAAGUGGUAGUAGAGAAUUAGUUACAAUUUUCAUCUACAAUAAUAAAAUGUUGAUCUGAGGAUCGGAUUUUUGUGGCUGUUGAACCAUGCGACUUUUUGGUUGCUAACCUAUACUGCGUUGAACUUGUUCAUAAAUUGGCUAAGAAAAAUUAUCACAAAUAGGAAAAUUUGAUAAUCAGAUGCAUAAUUUACAUCUUCCAAUCUGUGCAUCAAGCUUUCUCAGAUCAAUUACUGCUACAAAGGCUUUACAUUUGAUGUGAAACAAAUGGGUUAGGCUGCGUUUGGAAUGUCGUUUUCUGCCCGAUAACACCCGUAAAAUAUGCAUCUGCAAAAGUCAGCGAUAAGUGGGUCGGUCAUGCGAUUGGAACAUCGUUUAAGGGUAAUAAUUACGAUAGUUUUUUCAAAUCCAUUAGUAUUAGGCUGGUAUGUGAUACACUCAUACACCCCUCCGCUCAUCUGUUUUAUAGAUACAACCAGUGAGGGUAUUAUAUUCGUGACAUGUAAAUUACGCAUAUAGAUUUAUAGGGUAGAAAAUAUCAAACCAUCUAAAUUACCGGCAUAUAGAUUUAUGGGGUAGAAAAUAUCAAACCAUCUAAUCGGGGCCUUACGGGUAAGCAAUUACAGAGAUUUGUAACUUUGUUGUGUUCCAGAAACUACAUGAGUCUCUUUGCUUUGUAACUUUGUUGCCUUUGCUAAGGGUGUUUGUUUUGAGGAUAUAGUGGCACGAGACGGGUUGAUUCCGUCCACGGUCCACCAUUCCAAUGUUUAGUUGAGGAUGGAACCGAAACCGGGUGAUCCUUAGAAAAGGAAUAUUUCCUAUAUAUGCUUCAUCAAGUGAUUCCACCAAAUAGAAGGAAUCACCUGGUUAUUCUUCUCUUACUGAUAGAAGAAAAAAAGGAAACACCCCUACAAAUUGUUAAAACCAAAAAUACAAUGGAAAUGUUGCGGGAAUUUAAAUAAUAUUUUGAUAUAAAAAAAAAGAAUAAUCCCACAAAGUGAGUUGAGCCAUAUUCUUCUCAUUUCAUAUCUCCAACCAAACAUAAGAAUGGAACGAACCCGUGACAUUUUUUUUAUCUUCAACCGAACACAAGAAUGAAAUCAAUCAAUUCCUUCAAAACGAGACCAUGACAUGCCAUGCCUUUUGGUUCUCAAACCAAACACACCCUAACAGUGACAACUAAAUAAUUCAAAAAAAUAAGUGCAGGUUAAAAAGCAUAGCAACCUCUGCAUAAUUUAAGAGGGUGUAUCUUCGUAAGAAUCAGACAACAAGAGGUGCAAAAACAUCUUCCUCGCUACAAGACCAUGGCCCUGUUUGGAUACUCUAACCGGGUUAGAGGUUAGAGUUAGAUUCUAACCCUCAACUAACCCUGAACUAACUCUAACCCAAGAGGUGUUUGGAUAAGAGGGUUAGAUUGGCAAUAAAUGCCCUUUCUCAAUCAUUUGAUUACUUUUGUCCAUAUUCAUUGCCGGAUUUGGUGUGGCCGAUCGUUGUGUGGCCGGCAGGGUGCGGCGGGGCGGCCCGGCGGCACGGCGCGGCAGGGCGGGGCGGGGCGGGGCAGGCCGCGGCAGGGCGCAGCGGCCGGCAGCUCGGAUGGUGAGGAGUGAGGGCGACGGGGGGUUGGUGGGAUCUGGUGCGGGCUGGAUGCAGUAGCAAGUGAUUUUUUUUUGUCCCCACCUAACACAAAAAAGCACCUCUUGGGUGGGUUAGAGUUUUUGGGUGGGUUAGAUGCACCUAACCCAAUCUAACCCUACCUGUUUGAAUUUUUGAAAGUUAGAUAGCUCAACUCUAACCCAAUCUAACUCUAACUCUAGGAUCCAAACAAGGCCCAUGAGAAACUGGAUGAACAUGUCAGAAGCAAGAAUCCAAGGUGAGAGUAAAACACACAACUUCGUCCAUUCAAGCAGCAACAUGACUAUGUAUUCAGACUGAAUAACAGCCGCUAUCAGCACCAAGGUUACAAGAUGACACUUUCAGAACACAUCUAACAACAGUUCACCACAUUAGACGAGGAGAUUAAUGAGGUGAACUUAACUACCUAAUCAGACCAAAUAACAGCCACAAAUCCACAAGCAGCAACAUUGUUACAAGAUGACACUGUCCAAUGACACCGUCAGAACACGCUAACUGCAGAAUUCGUCAGACAAGGACGAGGAAGGGAACACAGGAAUCAUCUGACGAGGAAACUAGGACGAGGUGAACUUGGUGACGGCCUUGGUGCCCUCGGAGACGGCGUGCUUGGCGAGCUCGCCGGGGAGGACGAGGCGGACGGAGGUCUGGAUCUCCCGGGAGGUGAUGGUGGGCUUCUUGUUGUACCUCGCGAGCUUGGCGGACUCGCC
rnacentral:lncRNA from 1 species